AUAUCUCUAUAAUCACCUAAUGUAUAAAACAUCUGUCGCAAAAAAUCGGGGGGU
rnacentral:antisense_RNA from 1 species